CUUCUUCUUCUUCUACCUUCCAUCAUUUUCUUCUUCUCUUCCUUUCCAGAUGCUAAAUCAGUGGCAGCUUUAAUGGUGAUUCGAGGUUAAACAGAUAUGCAAGUGAACUGUGGUUUAGUUGUUGGUACUCACGACUCCAACGAGCUCCUCGUUUACGUCGCCAUGAGGACUAUUCUCUAAGGGGAAAGCCAGGGAAUAUUUAAUCGGCCAAACUGCAACAUAUGCGGAGAUGAAAUUGAGCUAUCAACAGAGG